GACAGAGGGUGCAAACGUUGUUCGGAAUUACUGGGCGUAAAGCGUGCGCAGGCGGCCUUGCAAGUCGGGCGUGAAAUCCCACGGCUCAACCGUGGAAGUGCACUCGAAACUGCUUGGCUAGAGUCUUGGAGAGGAAGGCGGAAUGCUUGGUGUAGAGGUGAAAUUCGUAGAUAUCAAGCGGAACACCAGUGGCGAAGGCGGCUUACUGGUCCGGUUCUGACGCUGAGGCGCGAAAGCGUGGGGAGCAAACAGG
rnacentral:rRNA from 1 species